UCCUCCAUAAUAUAUACUCCCUCUGUUCUAGAUGCAUUUUUUAGGGUUUCUGUUCUCACAGUUCCAAAUCAGUAAUAAACUAGCGCCUUACUUCUGAGAGCAAGUUCGUGGAACAAAAUUGCGGAGCGAAAUUGAGAGUAGCUAUGAUCGAAGGUUUUUUGAUUGAUUUGGGAGAACAGAAAAUGAAAAUAAAGCUUGUGGCUAACCUAUUUGUGAAAAUGCCACACAGACUACCUUUUGCAUUAGAGAAUACCUUUACACACUUCCCUGAGUGUUGGAUUCCUAGUUUAAAAGAUGCACAAUUUUUUUAUCUUUUAGUUGCUAAAUCCAGGUUAGGUUUAGCAUUUGCAGGGGUUGACAAAAGCUAAAGCGAUAGGCUUUGGUCAUGCCGUGUUCUUUUUGUUUUCAGUUGAAUAUAACAAGUUUUUCUUCAAUGUCAAUCGACUAACCAUAUAGGCAUAGUGAUUAUGCCUGAUAAUAUCAUAUGAACAUGCUAUUUCUUAUUGAUUGGUAUCUACAGUUUCCUUGUGUAUGCUGUUCAAUAUUUACAAGUUUUCUUCACUGUUAGUCAACUAAUCAAAUUGUGAUUAUGCGUGGUACUUGGCUAACACUAACGCACUCCAACACAAUGCCUGGAAGUUCUUUCUUAAAGUUGGCUAUGUACCAUCAAAUUUUGAAAAGUAUCCAUUAGGAGGCAUCAUACCAGCCAUUGAAAGUGUUUUUCAUACAACUUCGGAGUUGUUAUGCUCAGGCCAUGUCCUGGAGGAACUUCAUAUAUGGUUCUAUAAGAAUUUUGAGAUACUGAACUCAUGUGACAAAGCUUGUAGUAUGGCGAAACAGUUGCAUAUCUUUCAGUUGUGAAUGCAUAUCUACACAUGGCUGAACUGUUUGAUAGCCACACUGAAAUUCCUACUGCAAACAUGUCAGACAUUAUGAGAUCUAACAGUUUGGAUCGUGUACCUUGUUGAGAAAAGUGCUGCAAGAAAUUAAUCGGCAGAUAUCUACUCAAGCUGAACAUCUUAGAACGCAAAACAUUCUAUUAAAGCCUCGUGAAGAGAAAUACCAGUUAAGGAUCAGAGUCUUCGAAGCCCUCGCGACUGGGACUAGUGAAAAAAUACAGGUAAUUAUAGACUUCACACAACCCGCUUUGUGUCUAGUUCCAAUGCUUUAGCAUGCUUUGUGUGUGCCUUUUUUAAACAGUUAAUUCUUCUGAGGAUAAAUCUGAUGCAUUCUUUCUUGUAUCCGGUUAUCUUGGUGCUCUAAUAAGUUUCGCCAACAUAUCUAAAAUUUUGGACUGUUAUCUUUGAUCCAUAAAAUUGACGUGCAUUACUUAGAUGCUUUUCCCCAAGACAUUGAUGUUGGCAGUUACAUUUUCACUUUUGAGGUAUGGCAUCCUAAGUUACACGGACUCGUGCGAGUAUCCGAUAUGGGUACGGAUCCAAGUGUUGGAUUCGGUAAAAUUUAAAUUUUAAGAUUCAGGGGUGCGUAUCUAGUUAUGGAUACGGGUGCGGGGAUUCGGGGGGUGCGUAUCCGGUUAUAAUUGUAUUUCAAGUAUUUUGAUAGUUCAAUAUUAGUUAUUGCUCCUAAAUUAAUUUUAAUUAAUAUAAAUUAAGUGCUCUUAAAUUCUCUCAUUCUUGAUGUAGUUAUCUAAAAUGCUCGAUUAUUCUUCUCUAUCAUUUUUCUAAGUUAUUUUCAAUUCAUUAUCAAAUUAUAUAUUUGAAAUUAUGUAAAAAAUACUGUAAGUUACAAUAAUUAAUAAUUUAAAUUAUUUAAACGGUAUAUGAAAAAAUACGUUCCAAGAAUAAUCCGUUGUACAAAGGGAUCAAUUUUAUUAUGUACAACCAGUAAAUUUGUCCGUGCUUUUGUGCGAUUAAAAAUAUAAAUUAAUUAUAAAAAAAUGACAUGCUAAUAAUUAAUUUAGAAAUUAUCCCUAUAUUGUAUGAGAAAGAAACAUUUAUAAAUAGCAUAAUUAGGUGUCUUUCAAUUUUGUGUCACAAGUAGCAUAUAAUGGAAAAUAAAGGGGAUAAAAAUAACAUAUAUGGAGAAUAAAGGGGUCAUUUUUUUUACGUUAAUACAAUUAAGACUUUAAGAGUCCUAAUUCUAGCUUCUAGAGCCCGUUUGGAUUGGCUUAUAAGUUGGCUUAUAAGCUGUUUUCAGCUUUUUUGAGUGUUUGGCUGGCCAGCUUAAAGUCAUUUUAUGCUUAAAAUAAGCUCAAAAAAAUAAUUGGACCCAUUUGACUUAGUUUAUCUAAAGCAGCUUAUAAGCUGAAAACAGCUUAUAAGCCAAAAAAAAUAAGUUGGACUACCCCAACUUAUUUUUUUCAGCUUAUAAGCUGCAAACAACUUUAAGCUGUAAGCCAAUCCAAACGGGCUCCUACACAUCUCCUCCAGCUGUAAGCUUGUAACUUUUAAGUCGUUUUCCUCAAAUUCUCCAAACUUCCUUUUCAAACUUUUACAUAGCAAAGUUUUUACAUAGCAAAGUUAGCCUCUAGGUCGUCUCUUUCACUGGCUCUUCAUUCUUUCCUCAAGAUAGAAAGAGAGAGUCAUUUAAGGCCGGAAACAAACCCUCCAUCUAUAUCACUGCUUCUCUCUGCCAUCCGCACUAAACGCAAUCUUGUAUUCUUGGUUUAUAUGAAAUAUGAAGCAGCAAAAAUGAGAUAAAAGUACUACAAUAUUGAAGGUAUGUCAUUUUCCUUAUCUUAAAAUUGUUUUAUUUUUAAUUUUGAGAAAUCAAAAUCUCAAAAUUUUCCCCCAAAUUUGUCAACGGACUCCGGUCAAAGUAUGCGGAGUUAGUUGACCGUAUCCCGGAUGUUUUCCGUUCUCGCACCCGCACCCGACCUGUGUCAAGACGGGUGCGGCACCUAAACUGUGAGUCCGUGCAACUUAGAGGGCAUCUUCUUCUCGUUCCUUAUCAAAUUUUGCUUCCAACAUUGAUCUUCAGUUGACCAAUUUAUGUUUCCUUUCCUCUUUAUGAUCUUGUAGAUUGCUUUCGGCUAGUCAGAGCAUAAAAUGAUCUAUGCCACUGGAGGAAGAACAAAAGUACCCGUAUACGUUACAAAAGUUAUUGAAGUUGAUAAUGUAGAGAUUUCUUUUCUUAAUUGUGAUCUUGAGAAUAUUUAAACUCAGUAAAAAGUAUGUCCUUUUCUUUUCUUAUCCUUCUUAUCUCCUUGGUGAUAUCCAUUUUGAAGAGUUUUCCUUUUUCUGUCACUGGCUGCUCUUUUGACCAUUUUUUGCCUGUAUUAUAUUUAAAAUCAUCGUCAUUGGUGCACUUAUUUCUGUUUCAGGUAGGUGAUAGUAGUGCCAAUUCAAAAUAUAGAACGUGGAUACAUAUAUUUUUUUCUUUUCCACUUGUUCUUAAAGCUAAUGUACACAUCUUUUGCGAGUUUAUCACAAGCUUCAAUUCCAAGAAGAAACGUGCAGUUGCCUCUUAACUCCAGCACUGACGAUCUCUAAAGGAGCUAAACACUAAAUUGGCAUUCUGUCUUGUAGGAUUUCCAUGGAUUUGUUGGAGUGCUUCAAAUGUUUUAUCUUCUUCGAUUUUCUCUCAAUCAGAUAUGGAUUUUUAUAUGCGAUUAGUUUUUAUUUUGAGAUGGUCAAAUGCAGGAACUUAAACAACGCACACAAAGAUAGCUGCCAAGAUAUCGCAUUGUUAAUAAGGGGAGCAGAUGAUCAAGAAUAUCAAGAAUAAUACAUUGUUAAAGAGCGACUUGGUUUACAACAUGAUGUUUAGUUACAUUGUACGUUAGAUACUUGACAAAAGUCAUAGAUAGCCCCUAAAUUUUACCACAUUUUCCUCUGGGCUAUCUAAACUAAAGGUUGUACAUAUUGGGUACCUAAACCAGUCUAAAUUGAUCCUAUUGGGUA